rnacentral:rRNA from 1 species
GAUGAACGCUAGCUACAGGCUUAACACAUGCAAGUCGCGGGGCAGCAUGUUACUGGCUUGCCAGUAAUGAUGGCGACCGGCGCACGGGUGAGUAUCGCGUAUCCAACCUUCCCAUAUCCCGACGGGAUACGCCUGACCGAAAGGCAGUAUUAACUACCGUAUGUUGUCGCACGCGUGGCAUACAAAUGACCGAACGAAAGGUCUUAGGCGGAUAGUGGAGUGGGGAU